rnacentral:sRNA from 1 species
GCUGGGUGCGGUGGUGCUCACCUGUAAUCCCAGAAACUCAGAAGGCUGAGGCAGGAGGAUCGAAAGUUCAAAGCCAGCCUCAG